NNNNNNNNNNNNNNNNNNNNNNNNNNNNNNNNNGAGCAGGAGAAACAGGACGUUUUGAUCCCACUGGAUCAAACGAAGAAAGAGAGAGUCAUGGAGGAGGAGAAGAAGGAAGAUCCAUCGAGCGAGGAGGAGGAGAUAAUGGUGGGAGAAACAUCAAAAGAGGAAGUGAAGAACAUCGAGGAAAAGAGGAAGCUUCACAUGGAGAAGGAAAAGCAGAGGAAGAAGAAGAUGAUGAAGAGGAUGUUCGCUCCAGGUGGCCUCAUCUUCAGGCCGCAGCAGGAGGAUGAACGUCGGAGGCCUGUCAGAAGACAGAGGGAGGAUCUGAAGCCCUCCUCAUCCAGUGUUGAGGAGCAUCAAAAGAUGGAAGAGGAAACGGAGAAACCACCACGACCCUGCUGGCCUGUUUCCUCAAACGGAGAAGCAGUGGUCAUCACCGUAAAGCCCUUUCACCCAUUCCCAGAAGAAGAGGGCACUGAACUGGACACCUCCUCCUCUGGUGGCAGUGCAGAGGGCAGCAUUGCUGGAGAAGUUGGGGAGGUCUUUACUGAGCCGGAUCCCAGUGAAGCAGAAGAUCAGACCUCCCUCAACCAGUCUAACACCUCAACACCAGCUGAUACAACCAGCGAGAUCCAACCCCAGAACCAGCAGAAAGGUGUGGUGAACUGGAUCAGCAAGACACUGCACCAGAGACACGAGAGAGCCAUCGAGAAGAGCAUACAGAGAGAGAAGAAGCACGGCAACAAGUUCUGCUUAGUCAGAAUGGCCGAAGCCGACAGACUGGUUCGGAUCUCGGAGUACGAGAAGAUGAAGUGGCAGAGGCUGCAGAUCAAGGAAGAGAAUCGGCAGGAGAUGAUAAAGAAAUGGAACGACUGGCAGGAGAAACGUGCCGCCAAGAUGGCUGAGAAAAAAGAGAGGAAGGAGGAGAAGAAGAGAGAUCAGCUGGAACAAAACAGAUAAACCCAGUCAAGCUCAGCCGAGCUACACUGGAAAAAAAAACUCUGUU
rnacentral:lncRNA from 1 species